UAUAUAGUUUCCUAAUAAUUGGUAUUGGCUUAGCCGCAGUUUUAAAAUAAUAACUUAGCACCAAAGAAUUGAAAAGUUCUAAAAUGAUUUGUGUGUUUUCAAGACUUUUGGCUGGAUUUGGAUGAGAAAUAGAAGAGAUCAAUGAAAGGCCCUUUGUUGAGCAAGAGUGGUCAUAUCACAAUCAUUGGCGAUUCUUCAUCAACUGAUGAGCAAACACCACUUAAGGUUGUUCAAUCGUGUCAUCCAUGUACACAAGAACGUUUUUGGAACUCGAUCGAGUUUGCUGUGAGUUUGGUCCAAAUUGUUGCAGCAAUAGUAGUUUUGACUCGAGCAAAAGGUGAACAUCUAGAGACAACAAGGAUCAUUGGUUAUGCUUGUGGUUGUAUUGGCGAUGUUGGCACCACCCAAAUUUUAUCUCAGAGAUAAGGCCUAGCCUCUUCUUCAAGAGAUUUUUACAAGCACCAGCCCUGUUGAAAGCAGUAAACUCAUCAGAAAGGAUAAAGUAGAUAGAUAGUAAACUCCCAGUAAACUCAUCUGUCUGAUUUUUUUUCCAAGAGUUGCAUUUGUUUGUUUGUUGAACAUGAUGUCGUUGCUUGUGUUUAAUUCGUUUCCAUUUUGGUUUUGUGUCUCUCUUGUUAUACUGCGCUCAAGUUUCAAUUCUUUGUUACAACUUACAAGUUGUUGACUUUUGGGUUCAUGACUUACAACGUCACGCAUGUUUGUGUAUGACGUUAAAAUCAUAAAGACAAAUACUUUUCCAUUACUAAAGUGUAUGAGUCUGUAUGUCUUAAGCUAGUUUUAUACACUAAAGGAAACAAUUUUUUUUGGAACA